rnacentral:lncRNA from 1 species
UUAGGAUUUGAUUAGGAUUCGGUUAAGAUUUAUUUAGAUUUGAUUAGGAUUUGAUUAGGAUUUAAUUAAGAUUUUAUUAGAUUUUGGUUAGGAUUUGAUUAGGAUUUGGUAAAGAUUUGAUUAGGAUUUGAUUAGAAUUUGGUUAGGUUUUGUUUAGAGUUUGAUUAGGAUUUGAUUAAGAUUUUUUUAGGAUUUGUUUAGAAUUUGGUUAGAAUUUGAUUAGAAUUUAUUUAGGAUUUGAUUAAGAUUUGAUUACAAUUUGGUUAGGAUUUGUUUAAGAUUUGAUUAGGUUUUAUUUAGGAUUUGAUUAAAAUUUGAUUAAGAUUUGUUUAAGAUUUGACUAGAAUUUGGUUAGGAUUUGAUUAGGAUUUGUUUAAGAUUUGACUAGAAUUUGGUUAAGAUUUGAUUAGAGUUCAUUUAGGAUUUGAGUAGAAUUUGAUUAAGAUUUGUUUAAGGAUUGAUUAGGAUUUGGUUAGGAUUUGUUAAGAUUUUACUAUGAUUUAUUUAGGAUUGAUUAGGAUUUUUUUAGAAUUUGACUAGGAUUUGGUUAGGAUUUGGUUAAGAUUUGGUUAAAAUUUGAUUAGAAUUAAUAUAGGAUUUGAUUAGGAUUAAAUUCAAGUUUUUAUUUUAAUAUUUUUUGAAGAUUUUUAUUUUAGUAUAUUUUUGAAUUCCUAUGUUAUUUCUUUAUGAUUUCUUUUAAGGGUCUUUAGAAAUACUUUGUAUUUCUUAUAUAAUUCUUUUGCAAUUUUGAUUGAAUUUGAUUGAUGUUUGAUUA